rnacentral:lncRNA from 1 species
CUUCUUGAUCUGUUUGUUUCAAGGAUAUCUCGAUUGGGGAAUGAACAUCUGAAUAGAGACUUGAAAAAUCAAGUACUUUAAAAUCGGUAAAAUUUUGAAUAAGUUCUGCGCUGCAUAGGCAAUAAUCAACAACGCUUGAAUUACGGCAUGUGAACUUUCCAUCUAUGUCACCUAGAGUUCUCCCAUUCAUGAUGAAGAAGUUAUUUCCCUUGCAAAAUUCUAGUAGUUGAUUU